UGCCCCUGGCACAGAUCUUGGUGGUAGUAGCAAAUAUUCAAAUGAGAACUUUGAAGAGUGAAGUGGGGAAAUGUUCGAUGUGAACAUUAGUUGGACAUGGUCGGUUAGUCGAUCCUAAGCGAUGGGGAAUACUUGUAUCAAGGGUGCACUCUGCAUGAAAAUUGAAAGAGAAUUGGGUUAAUAUUCAUGAACCGAAACAUGAUGGUGGACGACAAUAUUCUGGAGAUGUCAUCGGGGGCCUGGGAAGAGUUAUCUUUUCUUUUUAAUGCAUUUGACUCAUAACCAUUACAAUUUUUAUAAUCCCAAACCCCUAAACCCUUGAAAAUUUAACCCUAAUAUUUAACCCUUAUAACCCCAAACAUGUACAUUAGCUAUUACAUCUAUCCAUUAUUAGUACUAGUC
rnacentral:ncRNA from 1 species